GACGAACGCUGGCGGCGUGCUUAACACAUGCAAGUCGAACGGAAAGGCCCUGCUUUUGUGGGGUGCUCGAGUGGCGAACGGGUGAGUAACACGUGAGUAACCUGCCCUUGACUUUGGGAUAACUUCAGGAAACUGGGGCUAAUACCGGAUAGGAGCUCCUGCUGCAUGGUGGGGGUUGGAAAGUUUCGGCGGUUGGGGAUGGGCUCGCGGCUUAUCAGCUUGUUGGUGGGGUAGUGGCUUACCAAGGCUUUGACGGGUAGCCGGCCUGAGAGGGUGACCGGCCACAUUGGGACUGAGAUACGGCUCAGACUCCUACGGGAGGCAGCAGUGGGGAAUAUUGCACAAUGGGCGGAAGCCUGAUGCAGCAACGCCGCGUGCGGGAUGACGGCCUUCGGGUUGUAAACCGCUUUCGCCUGUGACGAAGCGUGAGUGACGGUAAUGGGUAAAGAAGCACCGGCUAACUACGUG
rnacentral:rRNA from 1 species